rnacentral:rRNA from 1 species
CCUACGGGUGGCAGCAGUGGGGAAUAUUGGACAAUGGGGGGAACCCUGAUGCAGCAAAGCCGCGUGGGUGAAGAAGUACUCCGGUAUGUAAAGCUCUGUCAGCAGGGACGAAAAUGACGGUACCUGAUCAAGAAGCCCCGGCUAACUACGUGCCAGCAGCCGCGGUAAUACGUAGGGGGCAAGCGUUAUCCGGAUUUACUGGGCGUAAAGGGAGCGUAGACGGCAAUGUAAGACUGGAGUGAAAGCCCGUGGCCCAACCACGGGACUGCCUUGGAAACUGUGUUGCUGGAGUGCAGGAGGGGAAAGCGGAAUACCUAGUGUAGCGGUGAAAUGCGUAGAUAUUAGGAGGAACACCGGUGGCGAAGGCGGCUUACUGGACUGUAACUGACGUUGAGGCUCGAAAGCGUGGGGAGCAAACAGGAUUAGAUACCCUAGUAGUC